rnacentral:lncRNA from 1 species
UUGAAGGGACACAACAAAAAGCAUACCAAAAAAGUCCAUGUUAUAGAAAAGUGCAAACAAAAAUGUAUAUUAGGGAAACUGUGGGGGAAAUGUCCCUAUAUUUAAAAUGGAAAGUUAAAAAGCCUUUUCAGAUAAAAUCAUAACUAACAAAUACAUAAAUAAAAACAUAGAGAUGUACACUGUCCCUUCUCUAAACUGGUAAAAACAGAAUAAGCUGAGCCAUCCUCUGUCUAUCAGUUAAAACCUUGGAGCUAUGAUCUCUAGAGGGCAUCCUGAGGAUUAAGGGGGAAUGUUUCCAUAUAAAAUCCAGAUCACAUGUGUUCUGGUCACACCAUUUUCCAAGUUGUUGAGCAAGAUCUAUACAGUUUCCAUAUUUUGAAAGGGGGCCUAAAAGAUCUGUCUUCUGCAUCAAAUAUAUCCACCUUCUUUGAUAAGUGGAAUAUGGUGACAGAAUUCAACAAUGAAUUGGAUUAUAUUAAGGACAACCUACAUUAAAAUGGCAAUUCCUCAGGGUGGCCUGGACAAACAUUAUUUAGAGCUUGAGAAGUCAGUGUCAUAUUUACAACAAAAUGGCUUUCAGCUGUAUGAGAGAGAAGUUAGGUUAUCCAUUUUAGAAAGUAUAGUCAAGGAAAGGCAAUUCAUAUCUACCCUGUUUCCCCUAAAAUAAGACAUCACCAGAAAAUAAGACCUAGUAGAGGUUUUGCUGAAUUGCUAAAUAUAAGACCUCCCCUGAAAAUAAGACCUAGAAAAGUUUUUGUUUGGAAGCAUGCCAGCUGAACAGAACACCAGAGCAUGCAGGAUCAGUAAAGUGUUGUACAUGUAAAGUGUUGUACAUGGAAAUAUUGGUAGUAACAAGAAAUUCUUGAUAGGAUUCACACUUUGUCUGGUUAUGCUGGUUUAUGAUGACAACUACUGUACAGUGUAUAAUAAAUGUUCUUUUUUUGUUCAACAAUAAAUGUGGAUUCUUCUUCAUGGAAAAAUAAGACAUCCCCUGAAAAUAAGACCUAGAGCAUCUUUGGGAGCAAAAAUUAAUAUAACAUUUAUUAUAUACUGUACAGUAGUUGUCAUCACAAACCAGCAUAACCAGACAAAGUGUGAAUCCUAUCAAGAAUUUCUUGUUACUACCAUUAUUUCCAUGUACAACACUCUAUGGUAUGUACAUUUACCAAUACCGCAUGCUCUGGUGUUCUGUUCAGCAGACAUGCUUCCAAACAAAACCUUUGCUAAGUCUUACUUUCAGGGGAGGCCUUAUAUUUAGCAAUUCAGCAAAACUUCUACUAGGUCUCAUUUCCCGAUGAUGUCUUAU